CUACGUAGGGGGCGAGCGUUGUCCGGAAUGAUUGGGCGUAAAGGGCGCGUAGGCGGCUUUGCAAGUCAGUAGUGGAAGUCCAUUUUUCAAGGAUGGAAGUGCUACAGAAACUGCGGAGCUUGAGUGCAGGAGAGGUUAUCGGAAUUCCCGGUGUAGCGGUGAAAUGCGUAGAGAUCGGGAGGAACACCAGUGGCGAAGGCGGGUAACUGGACUGCAACUGACGCUGAGGCGCGAAAGUGUGGGGAGCAAACAGGAUUAGAUACCCUGGUAGUCCACACUGUAAACGAUGAAUGCUAGGUGUGGGAGGUAUCGACCCCUUCUGUGCCGCAGUAAACACAGUAAGCAUUCCGCCUGGGGAGUACGGUCGCAAGAUUAAAACUCAAAUGAAUUGACGGGG
rnacentral:rRNA from 1 species